ensembl:lncRNA
GUGUGUCCUUAACUUUGGGGUGUGACACCAUCGGGGGGACACAGAGCUGUCCCAACUUUGAGAUGUGACACUGUUGGGGCGUCCCCAACUUUGGGGUGUGAUACUAUGGGGGUGUCCCCAGCUUUGGGGUGUGACACUGUGGAGUGUCCCCAACUUUUGGGUCUGACACCAUUGGGGUGACUCAGAGGUGUCCCCCACUUUGGGGUGUGACACUGUGGGGGUGUCCCCAACUUUGGGGUGUGACACGGUGGGGGUGUCCCCAACUUUGAGGUGUGACACAGUGACGCGGUGUCCCCACUUCCCCUGGGAAGUCCUCAAGCUGCUCACAGUGUCCCCAACUUUGACGCAAUGCCCCCAGGGGGGUCCUUUUGUCCCCUCAUAGGACAGUGGGAGGCUCAGUGGCAGCACCCCCUGGACACCCCAAGACACUUCUGGGACAUCUUCAGACCCUUCCAGAAGACAACAG